rnacentral:rRNA from 1 species
UACGUAGGGGGCAAGCGUUGUCCGGAAUUACUGGGCGUAAAGCGCACGUAGGCGGCUUUGUAAGUUAGAGGUGAAAGCCCGGGGCUCAAUCCCGGAAUUGCCUUUAAGACUGCAUCGCUAGAAUUGUGGAGAGGUAAGUGGAAUUCCGAGUGUAGAGGUGAAAUUCGUAGAUAUUCGGAAGAACACCAGUGGCGAAGGCGACUUACUGGACACAUAUUGACGCUGAGGUGCGAAAGCGUGGGGAGCAAACAGG